rnacentral:rRNA from 1 species
GCCCAGACUCCUACGGGAGGCAGCAGUGGGGAAUAUUGCACAAUGGGGGAAACCCUGAUGCAGCGACGCCGCGUGAAGGAUGAAGUAUUUCGGUAUGUAAACUUCUAUCAGCAGGGAAGAAAAUGACGGUACCUGACUAAGAAGCCCCGGCUAACUACGUGCCAGCGGCCGCGGUAAUACGUAGGGGGCAAGCGUUAUCCGGAUUUACUGGGUGUAAAGGGAGCGUAGACGGCAGUGCAAGUCCGGAGUGAAAGCCCGGGGCUCAACCCUGGGACUGCUCUGGAAACUGUAAAGCUGGAGUGCGGGAGGGGCAGGCGGAAUUCCUGGUGUAGCGGUGAAAUGCGUAGAUAUCAGGAGGAACACCGGCGGCGAAGGCGGCCUGCUGGACCGUAACUGACGUUGAGGCUCGAAAGCGUGGGGAGCAAACAGGAUUAGAUACCCCUGUA